UACGUAGGUGGCAAGCGUUGUCCGGAUUUAUUGGGUUUAAAGGGUGCGUAGGCGGCCCUGUAAGUCAGUGGUGAAAUGCUCUAGCUUAACUAGAGAGGUGCCAAUGAUACUGCAGGGCUUGAGUACAGAUGAGGUAGGCGGAAUUGACGGUGUAGCGGUGAAAUGCAUAGAUAUCAGGAGGAACACCGGUGGCGAAGGCGGGUCUCUGGGCAGUAACUGACGCUGAGGAGCGAAAGCGUGGGGAGCGAACAGG
rnacentral:rRNA from 1 species